rnacentral:tRNA from 1 species
AGGCGAUUAGUCUAAGAAAAACACUUGAUUUCGGCUCAAGAACUUGUGGUUAAAGUCCAUAAUUGCCUA